CCCCUAGAUGUUCUGGGCCGCACGCGCGCUACACUGAUGCAUUCAACGAGUCUAAAACCUGGUCUGAUAGGGCUGGGUAAUCUUUUGAAAGUGCAUCGUGAUUGGGAUAGAUGAUUGCAAUUCUUCAUCUUCAACGAGGAAUGCCUAGUAAACGCAAGUCAUCAGCUUGCAUUGAUUACGUCCCUGCCCUUUGUACACACCGCCCGUCGCUCCUACCGAUUGAAUGAUCCGAUGAAUACCAUGGAUUGAGAGUACGAAUAGGUUCGCUUAUUUCUGCUGCUCGAGAAGUGGAGUAAAUCUUAUCAUUUAGAGGAAGGAGAAGUCGUAACA
rnacentral:rRNA from 1 species